UACGUAGGGGGCAAGCGUUGUCCGGAAUCAUUGGGCGUAAAGCGCGUGUAGGCGGCUCGAUAAGUCUGCUGUGAAAGUCCAGGGCUCAACCCUGGGAUGCCGGUGGAUACUGUCGAGCUUGAGUCCGGAAGAGGCGAGUGGAAUUCCUGGUGUAGCGGUGAAAUGCGCAGAUAUCAGGAGGAACACCAAUGGCGAAGGCAGCUCGCUGGGACGUGACUGACGCUGAGACGCGAAAGCGUGGGGAGCAAACAGG
rnacentral:rRNA from 1 species